rnacentral:rRNA from 1 species
CAAUAGCGUAUAUUAAAGUUGUUGCAGUUAAAAAGCUCGUAGUUGGAUUUCUGGUGGGAGCGAUCGGUCUGGCGCUUAGCGCGAGUACUUGCAUCGUCUCCGGCCAUCCUUGGGGAGAGUCUGUCUGGCAUUAGGUUGUCGGGCAGAGGAUCCUCAUCGUUUACUGUGAAAAAAUUAGAGUGUUCAAAGCAGGCUUAUGCCGUUGAAUAUAUUAGCAUGGAAUAAUAAGAUAGGACUUUGGUACUAUUUUGUUGGUUUGCGCGCCAAAGUAAUGAUUAAUAGGGACAGUUGGGGGUAUUCGUAUUCCGUUGUCAGAGGUGAAAUUCUUGGAUUUACGGAAGACGAACUACUGCGAAAGCAUUUACCAAGGAUGUUUUCAUUAA